UACGUAGGGGGCAAGCGUUGUCCGGAAUCAUUGGGCGUAAAGCGCGCGUAGGCGGCCCGGUAAGUCCGCUGUAAAAGUCAAAGGCUCAACCUUUGAAUGCCGGUGGAUACUGUCGGGCUCGAGUCCGGAAGAGGCGAGUGGAAUUCCUGGUGUAGCGGUGGAAUGCGCAGAUAUCAGGAGGAACACCGAUAGCGAAGGCAGCUCGCUGGGACGGUACUGACGCUGAGGCGCGAAAGCGUGGGGAGCGAACAGG
rnacentral:rRNA from 1 species